AGAAUCAACGCUGGCGGCGUGCCUAACACAUGCAAGUCGAACGAGAAGUGGUAGCAAUACCAUGAGUAAAGUGGCGCACGGGUGAGUAACACGUGACUAACCUACCCUUGAGUGGGGGAUAACUGAGGGAAACCUUAGCUAAUACCGCAUAAUACCCACGGGUCAAAGGAGCAAUUCGCUCGAGGAGGGGGUCGCGGCCGAUUAGUUAGUUGGCAGGGUAAUGGCCUACCAAGACGAUGAUCGGUA
rnacentral:rRNA from 1 species